UACGUAGGGAGCAAGCGUUGUCCGGAUUUAUUGGGUGUAAAGGGUGCGUAGGCGGCUACAUUAGUCAGGCGUGUAAUUCAGAGGCUUAACCUCUGAACUGCGCUUGAAACUGUGUGGCUUGAGUGGAGUAGAGGCAGAUGGAAUUUCCAGUGUAGCGGUGAAAUGCGUAGAUAUUGGAAGGAACACCAGUGGCGAAGGCGAUCUGCUGGGCUUUAACUGACGCUGAUGUACGAAAGCGUGGGGAGCGAACAGG
rnacentral:rRNA from 1 species